GCACGUGUAUCCAAGCGGUUACGGAGCCGGAUUCGAAAUCCGGUGCCCUCACAGGUUCAUGGGUUCAAGUCCCCUCACGUGCGC
rnacentral:tRNA from 1 species